rnacentral:rRNA from 1 species
CCUACGGGUGGCAGCAGUGGGGAAUAUUGCACAAUGGGGGAAACCCUGAUGCAGCGACGCCGCGUGAGUGAAGAAGGAUUUCGGGAUGUAAAGCUCUAUCAGCAGGGAAGAAAAAAGACGGUACCUGACCAAGAAGCCCCGGCCAACGACGUGCCAGCCGCCGCGGUAAUACGUAGGGGGCAAGCGGUUUCCGGAAUUACUGGGUGUAAAGGGCGCGUAGGUGGCAUGGUAAGUCAGAAGUGGAAGCCCGGGGCUUAACCCCGGGACUGCUUUUGAAACUGUCAUGCUGGAGUGCAGGAGAGGUAAGCGGAAUUCCUAGUGUAGCGGUGAAAUGCGUAGAUAUUAGGAGGAACACCAGUGGCGAAGGCGGCUUACUGGACUGUCACUGACGCUGAUGCACGAAAGCGUGGGGAGCAAACAGGAUUAGAUACCCGAGUAGUC